CAGUAGCCGCGGGAAAACGGAGGGGGCUAGCGUUGUUCGGAAUUACUGGGCGUAAAGCGCACGUAGGCGGCUUUGUAAGUUAGAGGUGAAAGCCUGGAGCUCAACUCCAGAAUUGCCUUUAAGACUGCAUCGCUUGAACGUCGGAGAGGUGAGUGGAAUUCCGAGUGUAGAGGUGAAAUUCGUAGAUAUUCGGAAGAACACCAGUGGCGAAGGCGGCUCACUGGACGACUGUUGACGCUGAGGUGCGAAAGCGUGGGGAGCAAACAGGAUUAGAUACCCGAGUAGUCCCUGUCUCUUAUAC
rnacentral:rRNA from 1 species